AUUACAAUGUUGCCAUGUGUUUUUAGUCUGUUAUUCAGUUUGUUGUCUCCCCAGUGUCAACAUUUCCAGCCUUAUCCCUAGCAAAGAGAAAUAUUUGCUCAGCAACCUUCAAUCCAAACUUGGUUGUAGUUUAUCUUCCAUCACUAAGAAUGUGGUGACUGAUGGCGAUGAUGAGCUGAAGGGGUUUUCAGCGGUUCCUAUCUUGGCAGUGAGUCGUACAACAUCUGUAAACUGGAUCUCCCUGAGGAUUUGGUACGUCAGCCAAGUCUGUACAAGUUAAUGCAGAAAGCAGGGGCUCAAAGCCAGGGCUGUGUACGGACACCAGAUUUCAGCACACACACAGAAUGGACAGAUUGCUCACCGUAAGGAGACAGUUUAUUGAAGACUCCACCUAUAAGUAAUUUCUGACUGUUGGUGCUGAAAACAAACCAACAAACCAUGGUAUCUUUCUUUUUUAUUUGUAAAAUGUUAAGCAAAUAUUUCCAUGAGGCAACCACAUGUCUGUAAAAGACACUCAGACAAAGGAGGGGUCUAACCUCUGGAUGGUAACACCCACUAAGAGCAGCUAUGGAUUUGUUGAGGCAGGUUACUGUCUCAUGUAUGAAUGGCUUGUUUCCCUCCUCUCUUUCUGUUUGUCUCAUCAUUUAGGGUGGUCGGUGGGCAGGCUUUGGUUAAGGAGUGGCGCUGUCAUACAGGAUCAGAGGCUGACAUGUCAACAGCUGUUCACUGUUGGCUUUAGGCCACAUCCUGUGAUUUCAGACAAUAAUUCUUUAAUGAUGCAUUUAUAGGCUGCCAGAUAAAAAUGGAUAAUAUUUUUGGUGUAAAAAUAGACCAAGAAAGGAGGGGUUGGUUGUAAAAGAGGAAGGGGCACUUAAAGCAGAACAUCUGAAUUCAAGGUCCAGAUAGAGUGGGUCAGGAAAGGACACAAUACAGCAUACUGCACUAUCAAACUUAAAGGAAAAUGAUUUGUUCUUAGUAGUAUCUAUGAUUCAGGAGUACAUUAUACCAGUUUAUUGUAUAAAUCAGUGCUGGGCCAACUCCUUUUCUAAUAUACUGUAAAUCUAAAUGUUAGCGUGCUUAUGAAAUAAACAAUUAUAUGGCUGGAA